GAGGAACAUACAGAGGAAUACGAUGAGGAAUAUUGGAAGGAAUGUGCAAUAGAAAUGUCUUUGCAGGAUGAAAGACUUGAAACGCAUAAGUUCACCAACACGUUUCCAACAUUGUUCGACGAAGUGCACUCCACAUCGGUCGAUACCCACCCUCGUCCAGCAAAACAACCGCUCACAUCGAUCGACACCAGUAAAGGAACAUCGAUCGAUAUUCGCGCCG
rnacentral:lncRNA from 1 species